UACGAGGGGGGCAAGCGUUGUUCGGAAUUAUUGGGCGUAAAGGGUGCGUAGGCGGUUUUGUAAGUCUUGUGUGAAAUCUUCAGGCUCAACUUGAAGACUGCACGAGAAACUGCAGGGCUUGAGUGUGGGAGAGGUGAGUGGAAUUCCUGGUGUAGCGGUGAAAUGCGUAGAUAUCAGGAGGAACACCUGUGGCGAAAGCGGCUCACUGGACCGACAACUGACGCUGAGGCGCGAAAGCUAGGGAGCAAACAGG
rnacentral:rRNA from 1 species